rnacentral:rRNA from 1 species
AGUGAACGCUGGCGGUAGGCCUAACACAUGCAAGUCGAACGGCAGCACAGUAAGAGCUUGCUCUUACGGGUGGCGAGUGGCGGACGGGUGAGGAAUACAUCGGAAUCUACUUUUUCGUGGGGGAUAACGUAGGGAAACUUACGCUAAUACCGCAUACUACCUACGGGUGAAAGCAGGGGAUCUUCAGACCUUGCGCGAUUGAAUGAGCCGAUGUCGGAUUAGCUAGUUGGCGGGGUAAAGGCCCACCAAGGCGACGAUCCGUAGCUGGUCUGAGAGGAUGAUCAGCCACACUGGAACUGAGACACGGUCCAGACUCCUACGGGAGGCAGCAGUGGGGAAUAUUGGACAAUGGGCGCAAGCCUGAUCCAGCCAUACCGCGUGAGUGAAGAAGGCCUUCGGGUUGUAAAGCCCUUUUGUUGGGAAAGAAAAGCAGCAGGUUAAUACCCCGCUGUUCUGACGGUACCCAAAGAAUAAGCACCGGCUAACUUCGUG